GCCCCUGCUCAGUUCCUGGGGCUCCUGCUGCUCUGCCUCCCAGGUGUCAGAUGUGAUAUCAUGAUUACCCAGUCUCCAUCCUCCUUGCCUGUGUCUCGUGGAGACAGAGUCACCAUCACCUGCAGGGCCAGUCAGGGCAUUAGCAAUCAUUUACACUGGUAUCAGCAGAAACCAG